rnacentral:rRNA from 1 species
GCGUGCUUACACAUGCAAGUCGAACGAUGAUCCGGUUUCGGCCGGUGAUUAGUGGCGAACGGGUGAGUAACACGUGGGUAAUCUGCCCUGCACUCUGGGAUAAGCCUGGGAAACUGGGUCUAAUACCGGAUAUGACCUUCGGUCGCAUGAUCGUUGGUGGAAAGCUUUUGCGGUGUGGGAUGGGCCCGCGGCCUAUCAGCUUGUUGGUGGGGUAGUGGCCUACCAAGGCGACGACGGGUAGCCGGCCUGAGAGGGUGACCGGCCACACUGGGACUGAGACACGGCCCAGACUCCUACGGGAGGCAGCAGUGGGGAAUAUUGCACAAUGGGCGAAAGCCUGAUGCAGCGACGCCGCGUGAGGGAUGACGGCCUUCGGGUUGUAAACCUCUUUCAGCAGGGAAGAAGCGCAAGUGACGGUACCUGCAGAAGAAGCACCGGCUAACUACGUGCCAGCAGCCGCGGUAAUACA